CUGACCCCCUAGUACAGAGCAGGACUUUUUUUAGGCCUGUAACUCAUGCCAAUUCAGCAGCCUAGGGCACAUCUCAACUCAAGUGCCUCUCACACGGAGUCCUGGAAAGUGACCGUGACUCUAGGCGGCUCUGAGAUUGGAGGCAGGGCUGCAGAGCGGGUGGAAGGAAGCGGAAGUGAUUCGACUCAGGUCAACAGCAUCAACUCAGCACCUACUGUGAGGCGGACACACCAGGUGAGAAGAAAAUGUGGACAAUUAAACCCUCAUGUGGGAACCCAGGUAGAGCAAACCACGCAGCCCAGGCUGACUCGCCCAUCCUCUCCAGUGCGUGCGGGUAAAGCGAGAAUCCCAUGGUACAGCAUCAACCCCCAGCAAGGAAAGCAGCUAUUGAAACUUGCUGAGCACGGAACAGCGGGGACAGAUCAUACCGAAACCAGAUCUGGCAAGCGGGGUGCUGCAGAAACUGCUGCUGCAGGUGGACCGGACGGCUUCUGCCGGGGCUUCCCCGUGACAUGCCAGCUGUUUCUCAUCUUCCUGGGUCGGCCCACAUCCCACCCAUUGCCGCCCACAAGGGAACAUUCAGAGGUUUCGUUUAGGGAAAGAGGGGCUAUUUUGCUUUCGUUCUUUUUCUCGGUGUUUUGAGUUAUCGCUUUAAUACCCUAACUGCUUGGUCAUGAUUUAGCUCAGGUGGGUUCCAGGAAUUAUUGAGUAACCACCUCUCUAUUUUGGGCAUUUCCAAGUACAUGAUGACGACCAUUUAUUGAUUCUUUACUAUAUGUCCAAAAACAUGCCAAGCAUCUAUAUCCCUGAUAUCACUUAAUCUCCAUAGCCAUCCCAGAAAGUCAGUUGUAUUUUUAUUUCCAUAUUAAUCAUGAGAUGUUGGGUCUCCAUGAGUUCAGGUCGCUUGUCCAAGUUCACGAGCUAAUAAAUGGCAUAGCCAA
rnacentral:lncRNA from 1 species